rnacentral:rRNA from 1 species
CACGUAGGGCGCAAGCGUUGUCCGGAAUUAUUGGGCGUAAAGAGCUCGUAGGCGGUCUGUUGCGUCCGCUGUGAAAACUCGGGGCUUAACCCCGAGCCUGCAGUGGAUACGGGCAGACUAGAGGUAGGUAGGGGAGAAUGGAAUUCCCGGUGUAGCGGUGAAAUGCGCAGAUAUCGGGAGGAACACCGGUGGCGAAGGCGGUUCUCUGGGCCUUACCUGACGCUGAGGAGCGAAAGCGUGGGGAGCGAACAGGG